rnacentral:rRNA from 1 species
GAUGAACGCUGGCGGCGUGCCUAAUACAUGCAAGUCGAGCGAACAGAUAAGGAGCUUGCUCCUUUGACGUUAGCGGCGGACGGGUGAGUAACGCGUGGGUAACCUACCUAUAAGACUGGGAUAACUUCGGGAAACCGGAGCUAAUACCGGAUAAUAUUUCGAACCGCAUGGUUCGAUAGUGAAAGAUGGUUUUGCUUUCACUUAUAGAUGGACCCGCGCCGUAUUAGCUAGUUGGUAAGGUAACGGCUUACCAAGGCGACGAUACGUAGCCGACCUGAGAGGGUGAUCGGCCACACUGGAACUGAGACACGGUCCAGACUCCUACGGGAGGCAGCAGUAGGGAAUCUUCCGCAAUGGGCGAAAGCCUGACGGAGCAACGCCGCGUGAGUGAUGAAGGUCUUCGGAUCGUAAAACUCUGUUAUUAGGGAAGAACAUACGUGUAAGUAACUGUGCACGUCUUGACGGUACCUAAUCAGAAAGCCACGGCUAACUACGUG